rnacentral:rRNA from 1 species
UACGUAGGAUGCAAGCGUUGUCCGGAUUUAUUGGGCGUAAAGAGAACGUAGGUGGUUUCUUAAGUUUGGUCUUAAAGACCGGGGCUCAACCCCGGGAAUGGAUCGAAUACUGGGAGACUAGAGGAUGUUAGAGGAAAGUGGAAUUCCAGGUGUAGCGGUGAAAUGCGUAGAUAUCUGGAGGAACACCGGUGGUGUAAACGGCUUUCUGGACCAUUACUGACGCUGAUGCACGAAAGCGUGGGUAGCAAACAGG